rnacentral:rRNA from 1 species
CCAGACUCCUACGGGAGGCAGCAGUGGGGAAUAUUGGGCAAUGGGCGAAAGCCUGACCCAGCAACGCCGCGUGAAGGAAGAAGGCUUUCGGGUUGUAAACUUCUUUUGACAGGGAAGAGCAGAAGACGGUACCUGUCGAAUAAGCCACGGCUAACUACGUGCCAGCAGCCGCGGUAAUACGUAGGGAGCGAGCGUUGUCCGGAAUUACUGGGUGUAAAGGGAGCGUAGGCGGGGAUGCAAGUUGGGUGUUAAAUCUACCGGCUCAACUGGUAGUCGCACUCAAAACUGCAGCUCUUGAGUGAAGGAGAGGCAGGCGGAAUUCCUAGUGUAGCGGUGAAAUGCGUAGAUAUUAGGAGGAACACCAGUGGCGAAGGCGGCCUGCUGGGCUUUUACUGACGCUGAGGCUCGAAAGUGUGGGGAGCAAACAGGAUUAGAUACCCUCGUAC